rnacentral:rRNA from 1 species
AACACAUGCAAGUCGAGGGGAAACGAUAUUGGAAGCUUGCUUCUGAUAGGCGUCGACCGGCGCACGGGUGAGUAACGCGUAUCCAACCUGCCCAUCACUUGGGGAUAACCUUGCGAAAGUAAGACUAAUACCCAAUGAUAUCUCAAGAAGACAUCUGAAUGAGAUUAAAGAUUUAUCGGUGAUGGAUGGGGAUGCGUCUGAUUAGCUUGUUGGCGGGGUAACGGCCCACCAAGGCUACGAUCAGUAGGGGUUCUGAGAGGAAGGUCCCCCACAUUGGAACUGAGACACGGUCCAAACUCCUACGGGAGGCAGCAGUGAGGAAUAUUGGUCAAUGGGCGAGAGCCUGAACCAGCCAAGGGGCGUGCAGGAUGACGGCCCUAUGGGUUGUAAACUGCUUUUAUAAGGGAAUAAAGUGAGCCUCGUGAGGCUUUUUGCAUGUACCUUAUGAAUAAGGACCGGCUAAUUCCGUGCCAGCAGCCGCGGUAAUACGGAAGGUCCGGGCGUUAUCCGGAUUUAUUGGGUUUAAAGGGAGCGUAGGCCGGAGAUUAAGCGUGUUGUGAAAUGUAGAUGCUCAACAUCUGCACUGCAGCGCGAACUGGUUUCCUUGAGUACGCACAAAGUGGGCGGAAUUCGUGGUGUAGCGGUGAAAUGCUUAGAUAUCACGAAGAACUCCGAUUGCGAAGGCAGCUCACUGGAGCGCAACUGACGCUGAAGCUCGAAAGUGCGGGUAUCGAACAGGGUUAGAUACCCUGGUAGUCCGCACGGUAAACGAUGGAUGCCCGCUGUUGGUCUGAAUAGGUCAGCGGCCAAGCGAAAGCAUAAAGCAUCCCACCUGGGGAGU